ACUGCGAGGAAAAAUCGACACCAAAUUCACAGCAAUUUCUAGUAAUUGGAGUUCACAAAUUGGCAAUUCCAAAUCAGCAAUCGCAGUAUCUCAACAUAUUAUCCCAAAAAUCGAAAGUAUUAAAAAUAGACGGACGAAGGAUACUACCGAACACCGGAGAGGGGUGAAAAUCUAGUUGCUCGCGGCGGCUUUGGAAGAAGACGCCGGUGAAGAUCGGCUGGGCGGCGGAUCGAAAUCGGCGGUGGUUGAUUGCUAUGGAAGACGGCGGUUGCGGCGGCGAUUCGGUCGAAGAGGGAAAGGAGAGCGGCGGAGAGGCGCGGCUGUCGUCGGCGAGGUGGGAGAUGGGGACGCCGGCGGUUCCUGGGUGGUAGUCGGAGUCGGAGCGGCGGUGGUGAAGUCGCCGGAGAGGAGAGGGCCGGCGGGUAAUUCAUUUUUACGAAAUUAAAAACUAUUUUCUAAAAAUUGAAUUACGUUCAAUUUAUUGUCCAAUAGUAACACUCCACCUGGCAUUUAGUCUUUUUUUAUUUCCGUUACUUAAACCCUAGGCUCAGCUUCUCCUACCUCUGCAAAAUGACGAAACUAGCCCUGCCCUAUCACCAUUCUCUCUCCCCUAUCCUCCCGCCGGCGACCGCCCACCGCCGCUGCGUUCCCGUCUUCCACCGCCGCGGCGGCGGCGGCCCCUCCAUCACCCGGCGCAGCCUAUCCAUAGUCUGUAAAGUAAAAUCGAAGGAACUCAUCCUCGGCAACCCCAGCGUCACCGUCGAGAAGGGAAAGUACAGCUACGACGUCGAAACCCUAAUCAACAAGCUCUCGAGCCUACCUCCGCGCGGCAGCAUCGCGCGGUGCCUCGACGCCUUCAAGAACAAGCUCUCCCUCUCCGAUUUCGCUCAAAUAUUCAAGGAAUUCGCGCACCGCGGCGAUUGGCAGCGGUCGCUCCGCCUCUUCAAGUAUAUGCAGCGCCAGAUAUGGUGCAAGCCGAACGAGCACAUAUAUGCCCUCGUAAUUGGAAUUCUGAGCCGGGAAGGCCUUCUGGAUAAGUCCGCCGAGAUUUUCGACGAAAUGGUAACGCAUUCGAUUCCUAGAACUGUUCUCUCCUACACCGCCAUUAUCAAUGCUUAUGGUAGGAACGGCCAUUACGAAAUGGCGUUGGAAUUGCUUGAAAGAAUGAAGGAGGAGAGAGUUUUGCCUAACAUAUUGACUUACAAUACUGUGAUCAAUUCCUGUGCUAGAGGAGGGUAUCCAUGGGAGGGAUUGUUGAGCUUGUUUGGGGAGAUGAGGCAUGAAGGUGUGCAGCCUGAUUUGGUGACCUACAACACAUUGUUGAGUGCUUGUUCAAGUCGAGGUUUAGGGGAUGAAGCAGAGAAGCUGUUUAGAACUAUGAAUGAGAGUGGGAUUUUACCCGACAUUAAGACGUAUAGUUAUUUGGUCGAUACGUUUGGGAAGUUAGGGAAGCUGGAGAAGGUGUCGGAGUUGCUUGGGGAGAUGGAGAUUGAAGGGAAUUUGCCGGAGACUAUGAGUUACAAUGUGUUGUUGGAGGCUUACGCGCGGUCGGGGAAGAUCAAGGAGGCUAUGGGGGUUUUCCGGCAGAUGCAGAGCGCGGGGUGCGUGCCAAACGCCGCCACGUAUAGUGUUUUGUUGAAUUUGUUUGGGAAGCACGGGAGGUACGAUGAGGUGAGGGAUCUUUUUAUAGAGAUGAAGGUGAGUAACACGGAGCCAAAUGCGGAUACGUAUAAUAUACUCAUAGAGGUUUUUGGCGAAGGAGGUUAUUUUAAGGAAGUAGUGUCAUUGUUCGAUGAUAUGGUGGAGGAGAAUGUGGAGCCGAAUAUGGAGACAUAUGAGGGAUUGAUUUACGCUUGUGGGAAAGGGGGGCUUCACGAGGAUGCGAAAAGGGUGUUGCUUCGUAUGAGUGAGAAAGGAUUGGUGCCGAGUUCGAAGGUGUAUACUGGUGUAAUCGAGGCGUAUGGUCAGGCGGGGUUGUAUGAGGAGACUCUUGUUGCUUUUAAUACGAUGAAUGAGGUAGGGAGCGCGCCAACGAUCGAGACAUUUAAUUCUCUGAUUCACACGUUUGCGAAAGGGGGGCUUUAUAAAGAGAAUGAAGCUAUUUUAUCAAGAAUGGCUGAGCUAGGCGUUCCGAGAAAUAGGGAUUUGUUGAAUGGGGUUAUUGAAGGGUAUAGGCAAGGCGGGCAACUUGAGGAUGCGUUAAAGGCGUAUGUGGAUAUGGAGAAGGUGAGGUGUGAUCCCGAUGAACACACUCUUGAGGCUGUCUUGAGUGUGUAUUGUUUUGCAGGCCUUGUUGAGGAGAGUGAACAGCAGUUUAGGGAAAUUAAAGAGUUGGGUAUACAACCGAGUGUUAUGUGCUAUUGUAUGAUGCUGGCCGUGUAUGCGAAAACCGACAGAUGGGACAAGGCGAAUGAAUUGCUAGAUGAGAUGCACACGAACAGGGUGUCCAAUAUUCACCAAGUUAUGGGGCAAAUGAUCAAAGGAGACUUUGAUGAUUCCAGUAAUUGGCAAAUGGUAGAGUAUGUGUUCGAUAAACUGAGUUCUGAGGGAUGCGGUUUGGGAAUCAGGUUCUACAAUACUAUUAUAGAAGCACUUUGGCGUUUGGGCCAGAAGGAAAGGGCUGCAAGAGUUCUAGAAGAAGCAACAAAGAGGGGACUCUUUCCGGAACUGUAUCGGAACAAUAAACUCAUAUGGUCCGUGGACGUACACAGGAUGUGGCCCGGCUGUGCUUGUACUGCAAUAUCCGUCUGGCUGAACAAUUUGCAAGAAUCGAUGACGAAGGGGAAAGAACUUCCUCAGCUGGGGACGGUUGUGGUCGUCCGAGGACAGAUGGAAAAGAGCUCAAUAACACGAGAUUUUCCAGUUGCAAAGGCUGCCUAUUCUUUGCUAAAAGAUGUAUCAUCAGCCUUCGUCUUUCCUGGUUGGAAUAAGGGUCGAAUCAUCUGCCAAAAAUCUCAGCUCAAGCGUAUCAUUUCUAAGAAUGAAUCUUCUUCAGGAGACUCCGAAGUUAACCGCUUAAUCAGUUUACAUAACACUCCCUUCCCACUCACGGGAUCGAAGACCUCCACAAGCAACACGAAGCAAAGCAGCAUUUCUGAUCCCGACCAGAUUGGCUUUAGGAGAUCCACGGAACUUAUGACAAGUGGACAUAAAUGAUGAACAGUAACAACUCUCCGAAUUUGGGUUCAUUGGAUCACUUCUUCCUCACUGAGUCGAGAAAUCUAACUGGGAAAAACAGUACCCUGUAUAUUAAUUGUUCGACUAUCCCAGAUUGUUGGAGACUGACCUCAUCGACUAAAAACUGAACUAACCAAAGUUUCCAGUGCCGGGGAACUUUUCUAGCGCGAGGGUCGACAUUACUGUUUGGAUCCUCCAGUUGUAUUUUCUAGCUGGUGACAGGUGUUUUUGAGGUUCUAAACUUUCUGCUCACACAAAACUAUGAGAUGGAAGAGAGAAGAGCAUGGGUGGGUGGGUACACUUUCUUGAAAAUGUUCUUACAUUCUAAUCCUAUCUUCUUCAUGGAUAUUAUAUAUAUAUAUAUAUUUAUAUUUAUAUUUAUGUGUGUUUGAUGUCUAUGUUUACUUGAUUGGAUCUUAAAGUCAAAAGGGAUUCUACAUUGGCAAUGGUGGGCUUCUUUUGGAUGAUGUGAAUUUUUUUAUUGUUUAUAGGUACCAAAGGUCUUUGGUGUUUUGAUGAAGGACUCAUUUUUAUUUUCAAUUUUGUUAUAUAUGCAAUUUUAUUUUUUUUUUUGA